GACGAACGCUGGCGGCGUGCCUAAUACAUGCGAGUAGAACGCACAGUUUAUACCGUAGCUUGCUACACCAUAGACUGUGAGUUGCGAACGGGUGAGUAACGCGUAGGUAACCUGCCUGGCAGCGGGGGAUAACUAUUGGAAACGAUAGCUAAUACCGCAUAAUAUUAAUUAUUGCAUGAUAAUUAAUUGAAAGGUGCAAUUGCACCACUACCAGAUGGACCUGCGUUGUAUUAGCUAGUAGGUGAGGUAACGGCUCACCUAGGCGACGAUACAUAGCCGACCUGAGAGGGUGAUCGGCCACACUGAGACGGAGACACGGCCCAGACUCCUACGGGAGGCAGCAGUAGGGAAUCGUCGGCAAUGGACGAAAGUCUGACCGAGCAACGCCGCGUGAGUGAAGAAGGGUUUCGGAUCGUAAAGCUCUGUUGUAAGAGAAGAACGGGUGUGAGAGUGGAAAGUUCACACUGUGACGGUAUCUUACCAGAAAGGGACGGCUAACUACGUG
rnacentral:rRNA from 1 species